UAGGGAAUCUUUGCCAAUGGACGAAAGUCUGACCGAGCAACGCCGCGUGAGUGAAGAAGGUUUUCGGAUCGUAAAACUCUGUUGUUAGAGAAGAACGUCACGUGAGAGUGGAAAGUUCACUGAGUGACGGUAUCUAACCAGAAAGGGACGGCUAACUACGUGC
rnacentral:rRNA from 1 species